AGCGAACGCUGGCGGCAGGCCUAACACAUGCAAGUCGAACGGAUCCUUCGGGAUUAGUGGCGGACGGGUGAGUAACACGUGGGAACGUGCCCUUUGGUUCGGAACAACUCAGGGAAACUUGAGCUAAUACCGGAUGUGCCCUUCGGGGGAAAGAUUUAUCGCCAUUGGAGCAGCCCGCGUCUGAUUAGCUAGUUGGUGAGGUAACGGCCCACCAAGGCGACGAUCAGUAGCUGGUCUGAGAGGAUGAUCAGCCACACUGGGACUGAGACACGGCCCAGACUCCUACGGGAGGCAGCAGUGGGGAAUCUUGCGCAAUGGGCGAAAGCCUGACGCAGCCAUGCCGCGUGAAUGAUGAAGGUCUUAGGAUUGUAAAAUUCUUUCAGCGGGGACGAUAAUGACGGUACCCGCAGAAGAAGCUCCGGCUAACUUCGUG
rnacentral:rRNA from 1 species